rnacentral:rRNA from 1 species
AUUGAACGCUGGCGGCAGGCCUAACACAUGCAAGUCGAACGAGUGGCGGACAGGUGAGUAAUGUCUGGGAACCUGCCCGAUGGAGGGGGAUAACUACUGGAAACGGUAGCUAAUACCGCAUACCAUCGGAUGUGCCCUGAUGGGAUUUGCUAGUAGGUGGGGUAAAGGCUAACCUAGGCGACGAUCCCUAGCUGGUCUGAGAGGAUGACCACCUACACGGGAACUGAGAAACGGUCCAGACGCCUCCGUGAGGCAGCAGUGGGGAAUAUUGCACAAUGGGCGCAAGCCUGAUGCAGCCAUGCCGCGUGGAUGAAGAAGGCCUUCGGGUUGUAAAGUACUUUCAGCGAGGAGGCGUUACUCGCAGAAGAAGCACCGGCUAACUCCGUGCCAGCAGCCGCGGUAAUAC